rnacentral:rRNA from 1 species
AGGACGAACGCUGGCGGCGUGCUUAACACAUGCAAGUCGAACGAUGAAGGAGGAGCUUGCUCCUCCGGAUUAGUGGCGAACGGGUGGGUAAUACGUGAGCAAUGUGCCCUUGACUCUGGGAUAAGCGCUGGAAACGGCGUCUAAUACCGGAUACGACCCUCGGAGGCAUCUCCUGUGGGUGGAAAGAACUUCGGUCAAGGAUCAGCUCACGGCCUAUCAGCUAGUUGGUGAGGUAACGGCUCACCAAGGCGACGACGGGUAGCCGGCCUGAGAGGGUGACCGGCCACACUGGGACUGAGACACGGCCCAGACUCCUACGGGACGGCAGCAGUGGGGAAUAUGCACAAUGGGCGCAAGCCUGAUGCAGCAACGCCGCGUAGGAGGGACGACCGGUCCGUUCGGUUACGUUAAACCUUCUUUUAGCGAAGGGAAGAAGCGAGAGUGACGGUACCUGACAAGAAAGCGACCGAUAAC